rnacentral:lncRNA from 1 species
UUGGUCUGCUGGGUGUAGUUAUAAUCCGCUUGGUGUUCUUGAGUGCUAGUGUAGUCGUGAUGCACAGUUGACCUUCAUCUCCACUGAAGCUGAGACAAUUUUGGAAGCACCAAUGGAUGAAAUGUUUUGGGAGCAGUCAGGUCUCAGUUCCCUUUACUUUGUCAAAGCAGGCAGAGUGAAGGCAGAUGAAACUAGAACCAGAUGUUACCACGCUUCAUUUGGAAGCGAGAGUGUACAUAGCUGAGCGAGUAGUAUACUGUUAGUGCAGGGAUUGGCUGGGUUUAUACAGAAAAAGGCCUCCGUGAAUGACCAAAUAAAGGCUGGUUUCUUCUCUCUUUUUUACCCUUCUGAGGGUUGCAUAUACUAGUUGUGUAAUUGAAUGUGCAGCUACAGUUUUUACCUGGAAUCUCAGUGUCCCAAAAUGUUGACCCUAUUUGGAUACUCGGUGUCAUGAAUCUCCUUUCUUACCCUAUGGUAUUGAUUCUCUAAGAGGAUAACCAGGUCGCAUAAGUGCACUCCUGAAGAAUUCUUAUUUUUUAGCCGAUAGGAUGGUACUCCAUCCCAAAAUAAGUGUCUUAAUUUUUAUAACUUUAAUACAAAGUUAUACUCCCUCCGUUUUAAAAUAGGGAAAUACUUACCGUCAACUGAUAGAUAACUGGGACUUCUUCCGCCACCUCAUUUGCGUGACUUGUGUCCAGUGGAGAUCCAUCAUUGCUGUCACUAUCCCAAUAGAGACGGUGAAUUUUUCCUCCACGAGUCUUCUCCCUAGAAAUCUCCAUUGCUUUCUCGUCAACACCAAUCGCUGCAUGAUAGUUGUUGCCAAAAGUCACCACUGCUGAUGCCCUUGCCGGCAGCCGCCCACCUCACUGGAGAGGAGGAUGGGGGUGUGGUUGCUGCCGUUGCCACCGACUUCCAUCAUGACCGUCGGCCGCACGCGGUGCACCCACCUCGCUGGGAAGGAGGAUAACGGCGAGCCAACCUGGUCGGAGGUCCAGCGUCGCUCCUUUCCCGCCCCUGUUCGACGGGAGUCCACGGCGAACGGCGGACCGUGAUUUAUUUCUUGCAACAUCUUUCAUGUUGCAAGAAAGAUUCUUGUAACAUCAAUGAUGUUGCAAAAUUUUCUUUCGAAACACCUAUAUAAAAGUGAAGACAAAAAUAUUUCUGUAACUUUAAAUUUGUUGCAAAAAUUUGUACAGACGUUUCUGCAGCAUGGUCUUUGUUGCAAAAAAAUUUAUGCAGCAUCAUGUCUGUUGAAAGGUUUCUGCAACACGAUUUAUGUUACAAAUGUUUCUGCAACACCGCUCUUGUUGCAAAGGAGAUGACGCACGUGGAUGGGUAGAUCUCACGGUCAUCCCGCACGCAUCCAAUGGCCAGCCAGGCGGCGGAUGUUUUCAACUUAUCCAUCGGCUGACGCGUAGCAUGGCCCUUUAAAAUAAGUUACUUUAGUACAAAGUUGAGUUAUUUAUUUUGGGACUGAGGAAGUACUAAUAAACUUGAGACAUUUAUUUUAAGGCACAGGGGAGUACGUACUACAUACUCCCAAAGACCUUAAAUAAGUGUGCAUAUACAAUUUUUUUUAUAACAGAUUAAGGAGUGGAGUAGAAAAUUCAUUGGAAAGAUGCAAACAAACCAUCCCUCUUCUCUUUAGUUACCCUACUUCCAAUGAGCUAAGUGCACCUAAAAAAUAAGAAGAGCAUAUGUUGAAUGUUAUUGAUAAUGACCUAAGUGCUUGUAAAAAAAAUAAGAAGACCAUAUGUUGAAUGUUAUUGGUCUCGAUUCUCGUGUGAUGAGAGAGAAAUAUAUUUUUCUACUUUAAAAUGCACUAGAAGGAUAAAAAUACACUUUUUCUAGAUAAAAUUUGAAUGCUAAACGAACCCUUAUUUGAGGACAAAGGGAGUAAACAAUACAAUCUGCCUCGGAAGAUGUAACUGAGAAAGCAAGAAACCAACGCGAUAACCAACCGGAUCCAGAUUGGUUGUCAGGACCCCGACUCGAUGUCACAUCGAUCUAGCUGGUAACACCUCAUAUCACUUUGCGGCCUCACGCACGGUAUUCCCACGGGUGUCGUCUUACCUUUUCCCGGGACCGUUUGCGCCUUUUGGCUCACGUAUAUGAUAGUGUCGCUAGCAUCCAUAUGAUAAAGAGCCCGGGCUGACAUGACUAGUCGUAAACCCAAAGUGGCACAGACUUACAGGGACAGGCAUCCAUGACCCAGCUUCGAACGUGUCGGUCAUCAGCAAGUGGGUCCGGGCUGUAGCACUGGGCUAGCAGGACUCCGGUAAACCGGGCUGUAGCGGGCUAACAGGACUCCGGUACUCAAAGCGUGACAUUUCCCCGAAGGGACAGACACAGGAACGAAGAAGGACACAUGCCGGCCAGCCUAAGUGUUCCAGAGCAGUAGCAAGCUACCAUGGCUCAGCGGUAACACUAGGAGACAUUUCCCGGUAAGAGAGGCUACUAAAGAUAAACAACUAGAUAGUCAGAUCCCACACAUACCAAGCAUUUCAAUAACAUGCACACAAUAUGCUCGAUAUGUGCAAUCCAACAUGGCAUCACAAAAUGACUCUACGACUCAAGUAUUUUAUUCAAUAGGCUCCGAGGAGCGCGAUAUUACAAACAUGGGUCUCAUGACCCAACACUCAGAGCAUACAAAUCAAAGCACAAGCGGAAGCUAUCAUGUCUGAGUACAGACAUCUAUAAAUGAAAAAGGCUGAGAAGCCUGACUAUCUAUCAGAUCCUGCCGGGGCACAAGAUCGUAGCUGAGGUAUCAAGCUAAACGUCGAAGUCCACGUGAAACUACUAGCGAGACCGAAGUCUCUCUGCAAAAACAUAAAAUAGGCAAACGUGAGUACAAAUGUACCCAGCAAGACUUACAUCAGAACUAUCUACAUAUGCAUCAUUAUCAACAAAGGGGUGGUGGGGUUUAACUGCAGCAAGCCAGCUUUGACUCGGUGGCUAUCCUAAACUACGACUGCAAUGUAACUCUUUUGAGGUGGCGCACACGAGUCCACAUAUUCACCAUAUCAAUACACCACUAUGGAUCCGCUCCCGUCUCCCUACGAGAACGCCAUCCAUAGCACUCACGCUUAUCUUGCGCAUUUUAAAGUAUCCACUUUCACUUGUCUAUGAACUGAUAUAAGCAACCCAGAAGUCCUUUUCCGCGGACACGGCUAUUCGAAUAGAUGAUAUUAACCCUGCAGGGGUGUACUUCUUCAUACAUGUUUCCACCACUUAGCGUCUGCACACGACAUGUGCUCGGCAGACUUCAAGCGAAAGCCGACGUGGGUGUAGACCACGACCUACCUAAACACCUAAGUCUCUAGUCCAGGUUUAUCGCCUAUUCGGGUUCCAUCCAUGAGGAGAUCCGGCCGGAGUUUCGCUCACAGCCCCAAACGAUGUGAACAGGGUUCCGUGACACCAAACGGGUGCCCGGUAUACCCGGCCACGUGCCUACCGCAUCACAGCCCACCCCUACGGUCAGCGCUGUCCACGGCCUCCAGCAUACUACAAACACCAGAAACUACUUGCAACUCCUGGACAGAGGACAAGGGUGAAUAAGAAGUCGAGCGGGGUCAUAUUUCAGGGCCCAAUGUAUGGUAGUAGCUGAAUCAUGGAUCACAAACACAGAACUCAGUUCCUGAGGACGGCUACAAUGAGACAACCCACCAUGUACUCCUACAUGGCCUCUCACCGCUACCUUUACCAAAUCGUGUUCACACACUUAGCUCACACACAGUAGGACAUGUUCACACACCUCUGAUUCAUCCCCGAUGAAUCAGACCUGACUCGACUCUAAGCAAUAGCAGGCAUGACAAACAAGCAUGAAUGAGUAGGCACAACAGGGCUCAAACAACUCCUACUCAUGCUAGUGGGUUUCAUCUAUUUACUGUGGCAAUGACAGGUCAUGCAGAGGAUAAAGGGGUUCAACUACCGCAGCAUGUAACAGAUGAUUCGGUGUUGUCCUAAUGCAGUAAAAAGAGAGCAGGAGCGAGAGAGUGGGAUUUUAUCGGAAUGAACAAGGGGGUUUUGCUUGCCUGGCACUUCUGAAGAUAACAUUGAGUCUUCGUCAGUGUCAACGAUCGCAUCAUCGGUGUCACGUCUAUCGAGAGGGGACAAUUACCGGCAAAUACAGAAAAGACACGAUCAAUGCAAUGCACAAUAUGAUGCAUGCUAUGACAUGGCAAUAUGAAUGUGUUUUGGGCUAAUGCACCUAAAACCAGAUUAAAUGAAGUUGGUUUGAAUCCAAAAUUCAAAUUCAAACUCCAUAUGGGGUUAUUUAAAUGUCAUUCACUUCAUUUGUCCUAAACAGUAGUGAUAAGUUGUUCUAACAUGCAUGAAAAUGGUACAGAUGGAUUCCUUGAAUUUUUCUGAUAAUUUUUCAUAUAUAAUUUAUUUAAUUUGGAGUUACGGUUAAUUUUCUAUGAUUUUUAGAAGUUUUAGGCAUUUUCUGGAAUUUCCUGAAUAUUUAGAAUUAAAAUAAUUCCAGAAAAUGAAUUAUGGCGUCAGCAUGACCUCAUGCUGACCUCAGCAGGUCAACGGGCGGUCCAGGUCAAACCUGACGUGUGGGGUCCACACGUCAGUGACACAGGGGCUAAUCCCGCGUUGACCCGGGCUUUGACCCACUACGGGGCCCACUGUCAGUGGCUGUGGGGGGGUGUUUAGAGCGUCAUUAGUGCUAAUUAGGCGUGCCACGUCGGCAGUCGCCGGAGUGUCGCCGGCGACGACCACGGCCGACAGCGGAGGUGCGCCGUGCGCUCGCUACGGAGCACCAUUUGACGUGCGGUUUGCUCCUACGGGUUCCUGGGAGGAAGGCGCAUCUAAAGAGGUAAGUGACAGCAGCUGGGGUGGCCGGAGCUGCCGGCGGCGAGCUCCUUUGCGGCUGCCGGAGUUCGGGCAAUCUCGGGGUCGGGGUUAGGAAGCACGGCAGGAGGAGCUGGGGCGUGCUACGGACUCCUGAGAUCACGAUGAGCACGUCAGUGGGCUCGGAUACGAGCUGGGGUGGAAGAAUGGACUGACUCAGAUCAGAAUGUCAUAAGGUAUAAGGAGUAAAAAAAGAGCCUUACGUUCCAACCCACAAACAAUUCCCCUACAUAUAACUAAAGAAUUUCUAGACUCAACAUCGACCAGUUUGGCUUGGAGAACCUACAGGCAGUCCGGCUCUGAUGCCAACGCUGUCAGGACCCCGACUCGAUGUCACAUCGAUCUAGCUGGUAACACCUCAUAUCACUUUGCGGCCUCACGCACGGUAUCCCCACGGGUGUCGUCUUACCUUUUCCCGGGACCGUUUGCGCCUUUUGGCUCACGUAUAUGAUAGUGUCGCUAGCAUCCAUAUGAUAAAGAGCCCGGGCUGACAUGACUAGUCGUAAACCCAAAGUGGCACAGACUUACAGGGACAGGCAUCCAUGACCCAGCUUCGAACGUGUCGGUCAUCAGCAAGUGGGUCCGGGCUGUAGCACUGGGCUAGCAGGAAUCCGGUAAACCGGGCUGUAGCGGGCUAACAGGACUCCGGUACUCAAAGCGUGACAUUUCCCCGAAGGGACAGACACAGGAACGAAGAAGGACACAUGCCGGCCAGCCUAAGUGUUCCAGAGCAGUAGCAAGCUACCAUGGCUCAGCGGUAACACUAGGAGACAUUUCCCGGUAAGAGAGGCUACUAAAGAUAAACAACUAGAUAGUCAGAUCCCACACAUACCAAGCAUUUCAAUCAUACACACAAUAUGCUCGAUAUGUGCAAAUACAACGAAGCAUCACAACAUGACUCUAUGACACAGGUAUUUUAUUUAAGGCUCAGGGAGCCAUACAUAACAUACACAAAGGUACGGGUCUCACGACCCCACAUACAAGUCAUACAGUCAUACAAACCAGCAGCGGAAGUAACUUGUCUGAGUACAGACAACUAGUAAAAUAAAAGAGGCUUGGAAAGCCUAACUAUACUACGUGGUCCUCCACAAGCUCAGGGUCACCACCUGGGUCUUUAGCCUACUCGUUGAUGUCAACGUCUACAUAGAACCCAUCAGAAGGGGUUGCAGCGUCUUCUGUAAAAAUGUAGAUUAUAGCAACAUGAGUACAAAGGUACUCAGCAAGACUUACAUCAGAUCCUACAUACAUGCAUAGUUCAAGAAGGGUUGGUGGAGUUAUUGCAGCAAGCCAGCUUUGACUCUUGGCUAGGCUAUCCUACGAUACUUCAAUUGAAAUGGUUUUGCGCACACGAGUCCACUACUCACCACUUCAAUACACUACCGAGGAUCCACCUCCGUCUUCCUACGGAAGAGCCAUCCUCGGCACUCACACUUAUCUUGAGGCUUUUAACGGUUUCCAUUUACUUGUCUAUGAACUGUAUAGGCAACCAAGUAGUCCUUUACCGCGGACGCGGCUAUUCGAAUAGAUCAUGUUAACCCUGCAGGGGUGUACUUCUUCAUACACGCUCUCACCACUUACCGUCGUUUACACGACAUGUACUCGGCAACCUUCAAGCGGAAGCCCAACGUGGGUGUCGGCCACGACCUACCUAAUCACCUAAGCCUCCGGUCCAGGUUUAUCGCCUAUUCAGGUUCCAUCCGCAGGGAGUCCGGCCGAGGUUUCCCAUACGGCCCCGAACGAUGUGAACAGGGUUCCCGAGAUACCUAACGGGUAUUCGGUACACCGUGCCACGUACCUACCGCAUCACAGCCCACCCCUACGGUCAGCGCUGUCCACGGCCUCCAGUAGGCUACAAACACCAGAAACUACUUGCAACUCCUGGACGGAGAACUAGGGUGAAUAAGAAGCCGAGAGGGUCCAUUGGUUUCGGGCCCAAUGCAUGGUAGUAGCUGAUUCUUAAAUCACACAUACAGAUCUCAGUGCUUAAGGUCGGCCUCAAUGAGACAACCCACCAUGUACUCCUACAUGGCCUCUCAUCGAUACCUUUACCAAAUCGUGUUCACCACACCACUCUCAUUACCGACAUUAACAUUUCACUCUAGCCCAUCACCCAGAUGAACCAGACCUGACACGACUCUAAGCAUAGCAGGCAUAGCAAGGUAGGAACAACACAUACACAUGGCUCAAUCAACUCCUACACAUGCUAGUGGGUUUCAUCUAGUUACUGUGGCAAUGACAGGUCAUGCAGAGGAAAUGGGUUCAACUACCGUAGCACACAGCAGUUUGAAUCGCGUUGUCUUAAUGCAGUAAAAGAGAGCAGGAGCGAGAACAUGGGAUUGUAUCGAUAUGAUCAAAUGGUUGGUUGCUUGCCUGAUGGUUCGUUGCACUGAUACGGUUCUUCGUUAGGGUAGUCACGGUACUCCUCGGGGACAGAUCCUGCCGCAAAGAACACCGAUAUACAACCAUCACCAAACAAUGUGCAACAAUAUGAUGCAUGCAUGAAACAUGGCAAUAUGAGUGUGUUGGGCUAAUGCAACUAGAACCAGAAGGGUUUGAACAGAUUUGAAUCAAAGAUUCAAAUUUCAAACUCAAACAUGGCCUUUUAAAGUGCUUUUCCUUGUUCUGAUUAAAACAUCAAUUUAACUUGUUUGAUCAUGCAUGAAAAUAGUACAGAUGGAUAGAUUGGAUUUUUCUGAUCAUUUUUCAUAUAUAAUUUGUCCAAUUUGGAGUUACAGAAUAAAAGUUAUGAAUUUUUGAAGUUUAAAUAAUAUUCUGGAAUUUCCUGAUUUAAUUUAAAUCCAGAAAUAUAAUUAUUGCGCCAGCAUGACGUCAGCAUGACGUCAGUGGUCAACUGCGGCUGGCUGAGGUCAAACCUGACGUGUGGGGGCCACACGUCAGUGACAGGGGGGUUAAACAGGUUUAAAUUAAUCCUAAUUAGGGAUUAGUGGCGCUGGGGCCCACUGUCAGUGUCAGGGGGGUUGACUAACAGUAGUUAGCGCUAAUCUAACCACCUAGCCGACAGGGCCCACGCGUCAGUGACCCUGGGGGGUCAAAUCCCAGGUCGGACAAGUCAAACCCCACCGGCGACAUGACGCCGGCGAGGUCCGAGACGGCGGCGAAAGUGCUUUUUGCCAUUCCGGCAACCAAAUGGACGGCGGAAGGCAUCUACGUGUUGCUGAGGUUGAGCCGCGACUAUUGGUGGUGGUGGUUGGGCUCGGGGUGGCCGGAGUCAACGGCGGCGAGCUCGGCUGCGGCGGCCGGAGUUCGGGUGCGGUCGGAAUCGGCGUUGCAGGGCGUUAGGGGAGGUGUUGGUGCGUGCUACGUGCUCCUAGUGAGGUGUGGAGCACGAUGGUGUGCUCGGUUGGGCGCUGCGGCGACCGUGGCCACGACGGCGACAUCGCCGGCGGCGUGGAGCUCUCGGCCAAGGUGGGGCUAAGGCCUAGAGGUCGGGAGAGACCAGGGGAGAAGGGGGAAACGACCCGGGGGCUCACCGCGGUUGCAGUGGGCGUCGAAGCGGGCUCGGGGACGCGCUGGAGGCGACGAAUUCGACGGCGACGAUGGUCGGAGCCAGAAGAGGGGAACGGCGACGUGGCGGCGAUGCAGGGCUUCCGGGGAGCUGUGGAGCGGUGGGGAGGAAGAAGGAGUCGAGGCGGAGCUCCUGAGCUAGUCGGGGAAGCGAGGGGUGGUCGGAGACGGCGGCUAUGGCGAACGGCGGCGACGGUGGUGUUCGGCCGUGAGAGAGAGAGAGGGAGCAGCACGGGAGAGAGAGAGGGGAUAAGGCCAGGGGAUCGGGGCGGCACCGAGAAGAAGCACCGCGGCGUCGCGCUGGCGGGGGAGGCAGGCAGACGAGCUGGUGGCGUGGCGCUCCGGCCGUGCGCGCACGCUGGCCACACGCCUGGCCUACUGGCGCCAGGAGGACGACGGCGGUGGUGGGCUGGGCUGGCUUGCUGGGCCGGCCAGCUGGCUGGGCCGCACAGGGAGGAGCCCAGGUAAGCUCCUCCUGUUAUUUCUUUUUCUGUUUUUUUAAUUUCUGACAUUUGUUUUGAUUUAAAUAAUAUAUUAAAUCAUUUAUUUAACUUAUGCCAAUUUUUGCAGGAGCCAUAUAUAUUAUUCCAAAGCUCUUUUAUAAAUGGCAUAAUAUUUGGGCACAUAUUAAUAUAUAUAAUUAAUAUAUUUCCAAUGCAAAUACUUAUGCAUUAAUUCCAAAUGCCCAAAAUAAAUGUCCAUGAGCCACUAAAAAUAUUGGUUUGAUUUUUAUCUCUGUACAAUAUUUUCAGAGAGCAACAUGAGCAUUUUCUUGGAUCCUUUUGGAGAAAUUUUAUUUGGGUCAUUUUCAAAAUGAUUCUGAGGGUUUCACAGAUCCCCAUUUCAAGUUUCUGAUGAAAGAGUAAACAUGAUGCAACACUCUAAUGCAUGGCUAACUAGGGUGUGACAACUCACCCCCACUCAAAAGAAUCUCGUCCCGAGAUUUGGGUUCCUCCGGGAAGAAAGCGGGAUACUCAAGUCGAAGACGAUCCUCCCUUUCCCAAGUUGCUUCAUCCUCAGAAUGGUGCGACCAUUGAACCUUGAGAAACUUGAUAUUAUGACGUCGCGUGGUACGUUCGGCUUGAUCGAGGAUACGAACGGGGUACUCUCGAUAUGUAAGAUCAUCUUGGAGAUCAAGCGUUUCGUGGUCCACUUCACGGAUAGGAUCCGAGAAGCAACGCCUGAGUUGAGAAACGUGGAAGACAUCGUGAACUCUGGAGAGGUGCGGAGGUAGUUCCAAUUGGUAGGCAACUUCUCCGCGUUUGGCGAGAAUGCGAAAAGGUCCAAUGUAACGAGGAGCCAAUUUGCCUUUGAUACCGAAACGAUGGGUUCCCUUCAGAGGGGUAACCCGAAGAUAAGCCUUCUCGUCAACCUCGAAAGUCAUAGCCUUAUGUUUUCGGUCAUAUUGACUCUUUUGACGAGAUUGGGCUGUUUUCAACUUUUCACGAACGAUACGAACUUGUUCUUCUGCUUCCUGAAUCAUAUCCGGGCCAAAGAAUUGUCUUUCCCCGGUCUCGGACCAGUUAAGGGGUGUUCGACAUCGUCGUCCAUAGAGAACUUCAAAAGGGGCUUUACCCAAGCUAGAUUGAUAGCUGUUGUUGUAGGCGAAUUCGGCAAAUGGAAGGCACUUCUCCCAGUCCAUUCCGAAAGAGAUAACGGAGGCUCGAAGCAUGUCUUCUAGAAUUUGGUUGACGCGUUCCACUUGACCACUCGACUGAGGGUGGAAAGCGGUGCUAAAGGAGAGACGAGUUCCCAUAGCAUUUUGGAAACUUUCCCAAAAUCGAGAGGUGAAAAGACUUCCUCGAUCCGAGUUAAUUUCCAAAGGAACACCAUGGAGUGACACUAUUCGGGAGAUGUACAAAUCUGCCAGCUGACUAGCGGUUAUACUCUCACGAACAGGUAAGAAAUGAGCUACUUUGGAAAGACGAUCGACCACGACGAAAAUAGCAUUAUUCCCUCUCUUGGUCCUGGGAAAACCGGUAAUGAAAUCCAUACCAAUUUUAUCCCAUUUCCAUUCAGGAAUAGCUAAGGGUUGAAGGGUGCCAGCAGGCCGUUGAUGCUCUGCUUUUACACGACGACAGACGUCGCAAUUAGCAAUAUACUGAGCAAUUUCUCUUUUCAUCCUAGUCCACCAGAACCUCUGGCGUAGGUCCUGAUACAUUUUAGUACUACCGGGAUGAAUGGUGAGAGGAGAUUCAUGAGCUUCCUUAAGGAUCAAACGCCUCAGGUUUCGCACUUUGGGAACCACUAGUCGAUUCCCGAAGUAUACGACCCCUUGAUCAUUAAUGGAGAAGCAAUUCGCAAUUCCUUUCUGAAUGUUUCUCUUGAUGCGGGAGAUUCCCGGAUCUACCUUCUGUGCUUUGAUAAUUUGAUCCGUAAGGGUAGGUUUUGCCACCAAGGUGGAAAGAAAACCUUGAGGUACAAUGUGAAGGUUAAGCUUCCGAAAUUCCUCAUGGAAGAGCGGUUGACUUUGUUGUAACAUCAGGUUGUUACAAUAAGAUUUACGACUUAGCGCAUCAGCCAUGACGUUGGCUUUCCCUGGAGUGUAGGUUAUUCCUAAGUCGAAGUCUGUGAUCAAUUCAACCCAACGUCUCUGCCUGAGAUUUAAAUCCGGUUGGGUGAAAAUGUACUUCAGACUUUGGUGAUCAGUGAAUAUUUCGCAACGAUUACCAAGGAGGUAAUGUCGCCAGGUCUUAAGUGCAUAGACUACGGCUGCAAGCUCUAGAUCAUGAGUAGGAUAAUUCUCCUCAUGUGGGUGCAAUUGCCGUGAAGCGUAAGCAAUUACGUGUCGAUCUUGCAUAAGAAUGCAACCUAGUCCUUGUCACGAGGCGUCGCAGUAGAUAACGAAGUCCUUGGAGAAGUCUGGCGGUACCAGUACGGGAGCAGAGGUCAGGCGUCUUUUCAGUUCCUGAAAGCUGUGCUCACAUUGUGGAGUCCAUUCGAACUUCUUAUCUUUCUUGAGGAGUUCGGUUAGAGGUUUAGCAACUUUGGAGAAGUUCUCGACAAAGCGACGGCAAUAGCUCGCUAAGCCUAGAAAACUCCGAACUUGCUUGACCGAUUCAGGUGGAGUCCAAUCAAGGACGGCUUGAACUCGCUCAGGGUUAACGGCAAUACCUUUACCAGAUAUUACAUGACCCAGAUAGGUCACUUCUGACAACCAGAAUUCACAUUUCGAAAAUUUGGCAUAAAGGCGAUGCUCUCGAAGUUUCUUCAACACUAGCCUUAAAUGUUCGGCAUGUUCUUCCUCGUUCUUGGAGUAGAUGAGUAUGUCAUCGAGAUAAACUACGACGAAUUUAUCCAAAUACUCCAUGAAGAUUGAGUUCAUUAACCGAGAAAAGGUGGCUGGAGCGUUGGUUAAACCAAAAGACAUGACGGUGUACUCGUAUUGGCCAUAACGAGUAACAAAGGCCGUUUUAGGAAUGUCCCCGUUUCUGAUUUUGAUUUGAUGGUAGCCCAACCUCAAAUCCAUCUUGGAGAAGACUGAGGAUCCAGCGAGCUGAUCAUACAGAUCGUUGAUCCUGGGAAGUGGAUAUUUGUUCUUGAUUGUGACCAAAUUGACAGGUCGGUAAUCUACAACCAUCCGGUCCGUACCAUCCUUCUUCUUGACGAAUAGGACGGGGCAAGCCCACGGAGAUGAACUAGGGCGGAUGAAACCCUUUUUCAAGGACUCAUCGAGUUGUUUCUUAAGCUCGGCUAGUUCUAAGGGUGCCAUCUUAUAAGGUCUUCUAGCAAUCGGAACGGUUCCGGGGAUGAGGUCGAUUACGAACUCAACAUCCCUGUCAGGUGGAACACCUGGCAAUUCCUCUGGAAAGACAUCAGGGAAGUCACAGACUACCGGCACAUCCUCAAGGUCUGGCAAAGGGCUGGCAUUAAGAGAAUAUAAUUGUCGCUUGGCUAUUCGGGUCAAGACAUUGACUAUCUUCCCCGAAGGAUGGGUGAGUUGAACAGUCCUAGAGAAGCAAUCAAUUUUGGCUUGAUGAGCUGACAUCCAGUCCAUACCCAAAAUGAUAUUAAUAUCUGAAGAUUUAAGGGCUAUCAAAGAUGCGAGGAAAACAAGUCUGUCGACUUGGAUUUCAUUUCCAUGGCUUACUCUAGAGGUUUGCCAUUUGGAUCCCGGAGUUUGAAUUACCAUAGAGGUUGGCAUAUCACCGAAUGCGACGUUAUGCAAACGAGCAUAAUUUUCGGAUAUAAAAGAAUGAGAGGCUCCUGUAUCGAAAAGAACAGAUGCCGGGUGGCAGUUAACAAGAAGCGUACCGAGGACGACGUUGGGAUCCUCUUGAGCUUCUUCGGCAGAGAUACAGUUGACAUGGCCACGUGAAGCGGUGACCGGCUUGGCGUGGAACACUUUCCCUGUCGGCUUGCCACGGCCAACAGCUUUAGCAGACUGGUUGGGGUUGGUCUGGGGACACUCACGCAUAUAGUGACCAGAUUCCCCACAUUUGAAACAAGUCACGGAACUGGUACAUGGAGGAGCAUUAUUGGUUGGACCCCCAUAGGGCUUGGCUGGAGCAGACUGUUGAACGGGGCGAGGCGCCUGGAAAGAUGGCCUCGGUGUGAAUCUGGGUGGCAGGGCGGUGUUGGGCACCCACACGCGGCGCUUCUGAGGACCAGCACCGGAUGAGGAACCCAUGUCACGCCCAUGCUUGCGUGUUGCGUCAUAGUCAGUCUGACCAGUUUCAGCACUGAUGGCUUUGUUGACAAGUUUCGGAAAAGAUGUGCACUCAUGCAGACGAAGGUCGUGGCGAAGCUCAGGACUAAGGCCCUUACGGAACCUUGCUUGCUUCUUGGCGUCAGUAGAAACUUCCUCAGUUGCAUAUCGGGCGAGCUUACCAAACUCCCUGCUAUAGGCAUCCACAGAAAGUCGGCCUUGGGUGAAAUUGCAAAAUUCUUCACGUUUACGGUCCAUGAGACCCUCCGGAAUGUGAUGUUCACGGAAAGCCUCGCUGAAUUCAGCCCAAGUAGUGACAUGGCCCGCUGGGCGCAUAGCUCCAUAAUUCUCCCACCAUAGACUGGCGGGGCCUUCAAGAUGAUAUGCAGCAAAGGUGACCUUGUCAGCCUCCGCUACCAGCGCGGAACACAGUUUGUGGGAGAUACUGCGAAGCCAGUCAUCAGCGUCGAGAGGCUCGACGGAGUGGUGGAACGUGGGUGGAUGCAAUUUGAUAAAAUCACUGAGUGACACCACGUUAGCCCUCUGAUGGUGUGUUGUAUUCUGUUCAAUACGCUCCAACAAACGGUUUGUCUCCCGCUUGUUUCUCUCAGCUUCCAUCAUAACCUCGGCUAGUGAAGGAGGAUGAGGCAGAUUUUCAUUCCUGGCUUCACUGCCUUCGGCCUGCUCUUGGGAAGCAGGGUUAGCGCGCGUGUUGACCAUCCUAGGUAAACAAGACAAUGAUUUAGUCAGGAUGGUAAAAUUCCGACAUAGGAUACAUAAUGUAAGGAAUAACUCGGAAUGCAAGAUGAUCAUCCGUAUGACAUGGUAGAUACAGAAACUGCUUCUUUAUUCCAUCGUCAUACACACCAUACAGGGUUUAGUACAAGACCAAACAAAGUACUAUUACGGUGAAAAAGGAUUACAUCUCAUCGGAGGCAUACCAAGCUCCUAUACAUUAUUUUUCUACACCUCCGGAAGGAGUACAAACUAGGUCAUAUCCCACGAGUCACGCAGGACGAUAGACGACACAGCUAGUGCGAACUAGUGAUACUACCACUAACUCAGACCGAUCCGUAGUAGUCCUCGUAAAAGUCACCUCCAUAGCCUGGAAGUUCCACAUGAUCAUCCGGAAACAGACGGUCUCGCGGAGCUUGUGGACCAUAGGUGAGCGCAUGCUCCAGUGUUGAGAUGAUUCUUGGUGUUCUUGGUUGGUCUGCUGGGUGUAGUUAUAAUCCGCUUGGUGUUCUUGAGUGCUAGUGUAGUCGUGAUGCACAGUUGACCUUCAUCUCCACUGAAGCUGAGACAAUUUUGGAAGCACCAAUGGAUGAAAUGUUUUGGGAGCAGUCAGGUCUCAGUUCCCUUUACUUUGUCAAAGCAGGCAGAGUGAAGGCAGAUGAAACUAGAACCAGAUGUUACCACGCUUCAUUUGGAAGCGAGAGUGUACAUAGCUGAGCGAGUAGUAUACUGUUAGUGCAGGGAUUGGCUGGGUUUAUACAGAAAAAGGCCUCCGUGAAUGACCAAAUAAAGGCUGGUUUCUUCUCUCUUUUUUACCCUUCUGAGGGUUGCAUAUACUAGUUGUGUAAUUGAAUGUGCAGCUACAGUUUUUACCUGGAAUCUCAGUGUCCCAAAAUGUUGACCCUAUUUGGAUACUCGGUGUCAUGAAUCUCCUUUCUUACCCUAUGGUAUUGAUUCUCUAAGAGGAUAACCAGGUCGCAUAAGUGCACUCCUGAAGAAUUCUUAUUUUUUAGCCGAUAGGAUGGUACUCCAUCCCAAAAUAAGUGUCUUAAU